GGGUUGUGAGGUUAAGCGACUAAGCGUACACGGUGGAUGCCCUGGCAGUCAGAGGCGAUGAAGGACGUGCUAAUCUGCGAUAAGCGUCGGUAAGGUGAUAUGAACCGUUAUAACCGGCGAUUUCCGAAUGGGGAAACCCAGUGUGUUUCGACACACUAUCAUUAACUGAAUCCAUAGGUUAAUGAGGCGAACCGGGGGAACUGAAACAUCUAAGUACCCCGAGGAAAAGAAAUCAACCGAGAUUCCCCCAGUAGCGGCGAGCGAACGGGGAGCAGCCCAGAGCCUGAAUCAGUGUGUGUGUUAGUGGAAGCGUCUGGAAAGGCGCGCGAUACAGGGUGACAGCCCCGUACACAAAAAUGCACAUGCUGUGAGCUCGAUGAGUAGGGCGGGACACGUGGUAUCCUGUCUGAAUAUGGGGGGACCAUCCUCCAAGGCUAAAUACUCCUGACUGACCGAUAGUGAACCAGUACCGUGAGGGAAAGGCGAAAAGAACCCCGGCGAGGGGAGUGAAAAAGAACCUGAAACCGUGUACGUACAAGCAGUGGGAGCCUCUUUAUGGGGUGACUGCGUACCUUUUGUAUAAUGGGUCAGCGACUUAUAUUCUGUAGCAAGGUUAACCGAAUAGGGGAGCCGAAGGGAAACCGAGUCUUAACUGGGCGUUAAGUUGCAGGGUAUAGACCCGAAACCCGGUGAUCUAGCCAUGGGCAGGUUGAAGGUUGGGUAACACUAACUGGAGGACCGAACCGACUAAUGUUGAAAAAUUAGCGGAUGACUUGUGGCUGGGGGUGAAAGGCCAAUCAAACCGGGAGAUAGCUGGUUCUCCCCGAAAGCUAUUUAGGUAGCGCCUCGUGAAUUCAUCUCCGGGGGUAGAGCACUGUUUCGGCAAGGGGGUCAUCCCGACUUACCAACCCGAUGCAAACUGCGAAUACCGGAGAAUGUUAUCACGGGAGACACACGGCGGGUGCUAACGUCCGUCGUGAAGAGGGAAACAACCCAGACCGCCAGCUAAGGUCCCAAAGUCAUGGUUAAGUGGGAAACGAUGUGGGAAGGCCCAGACAGCCAGGAUGUUGGCUUAGAAGCAGCCAUCAUUUAAAGAAAGCGUAAUAGCUCACUGGUCGAGUCGGCCUGCGCGGAAGAUGUAACGGGGCUAAACCAUGCACCGAAGCUGCGGCAGCGACGCUUAUGCGUUGUUGGGUAGGGGAGCGUUCUGUAAGCCUGUGAAGGUGUGCUGUGAGGCAUGCUGGAGGUAUCAGAAGUGCGAAUGCUGACAUAAGUAACGAUAAAGCGGGUGAAAAGCCCGCUCGCCGGAAGACCAAGGGUUCCUGUCCAACGUUAAUCGGGGCAGGGUGAGUCGACCCCUAAGGCGAGGCCGAAAGGCGUAGUCGAUGGGAAACAGGUUAAUAUUCCUGUACUUGGUGUUACUGCGAAGGGGGGACGGAGAAGGCUAUGUUGGCCGGGCGACGGUUG
rnacentral:rRNA from 1 species